rnacentral:tRNA from 3 species
UAUUUUAAUAGCUUAUAAAGAGCAUGAUAUUGAAGAUAUCAAGGAAGUAAUUUUACUUUAAAAUAU